GCUUANCAUGCAGUCGAACGAUGAUCUCCAGCUUGCUGGGGGGAUUAGUGGCGAACGGGUGAGUAACACGUGAGUAACCUGCCCUUAACUCUGGGAUAAGCCUGGGAAACUGGGUCUAAUACCGGAUAUGACUCCUCAUCGCAUGGUGGGGGGUGGAAAGCUUUUGUGGUUUUGGAUGGACUCGCGGCCUAUCAGCUUGUUGGUGAGGUAAUGGCUCACCAAGGCGACGACGGGUAGCCGGCCUGAGAGGGUGACCGGCCACACUGGGACUGAGACACGGCCCAGACUCCUACGGGAGGCAGCAGUGGGGAAUAUUGCACAAUGGGCGCAAGCCUGAUGCAGCGACGCCGCGUGAGGGAUGACGGCCUUCGGGUUGUAAACCUCUUUCAGUAGGGAAGAAGCGAAAGUGACGGUACCUGCAGAAGAAGCGCCGGCUAACUACGUGCCAGCAGCCGCGGUAAUACGUAGGGCGCAAGCGUUAUCCGGAAUUAUUGGGCGUAAAGAGCUCGUAGGCGGUUUGUCGCGUCUGCCGUGAAAGUCCGGGGCUCAACUCCGGAUCUGCGGUGGGUACGGGCAGACUAGAGUGAUGUAGGGGAGACUGGAAUUCCUGGUGUAGCGGUGAAAUGCGCAGAUAUCAGGAGGAACACCGAUGGCGAAGGCAGGUCUCUGGGCAUUAACUGACGCUGAGGAGCGAAAGCAUGGGGAGCGAACAGGAUUAGAUACCCUGGUAGUCCAUGCCGUAAACGUUGGGCACUAGGUGUGGGGGACAUUCCACGUUUUCCGCGCCGUAGCUAACGCAUUAAGUGCCCCGCCUGGGGAGUACGGCCGCAAGGCUAAAACUCAAAGGAAUUGACGGGGGCCCGCACAAGCGGCGGAGCAUGCGGAUUAAUUCGAUGCAACGCGAAGAACCUUACCAAGGCUUGACAUGGACCGGACCGCCGCAGAAAUGUGGUUUCCCCUUUGGGGCCGGUUCACAGGUGGUGCAUGGUUGUCGUCAGCUCGUGUCGUGAGAUGUUGGGUUAAGUCCCGCAACGAGCGCAACCCUCGUUCCAUGUUGCCAGCGCGUAAUGGCGGGGACUCAUGGGAGACUGCCGGGUCACUCGGAGGAAGGUGGGGACGACGUCAAUCAUCAUGCCCCUUAUGUNUGGGCU
rnacentral:rRNA from 1 species